UUGCAGUCAAUUAAGCCGACCAACCUCUGUUUCUAUCAGCGGCUGGUGUGCACUGUCUGCACACAGCAAUUCCCUUGGCUGUGUACGUGCCCUGUUAUUUGUACAGAGCACCUUAAGGGACCUUGGGAACAUAU
ensembl:snoRNA SNORA70 Small nucleolar RNA SNORA70